GGAAGUCUGGUGCCAGCAGCCGCGGUAAUUCCAGCUCCAAUAGCGUAUAUUAAAGUUGUCGCAGUUAAAAAGCUCGUAGUUGAACCUCGGGAUCAAUGGAUCGGUCAUGCCAUCGGUAUGUACUGGUCUCAUUGGUUCUCACCUUCUAAGGAACCAUGAUGUCAUUCAGUUGAUGUUGUGGGGAAUUAGGACUGUUACCUUGAAAAAAUUAGAGUGUUUAAAGCAGGCUAACGCUUGAAUACAUUAGCAUGGAAUAAUGAAAUAGGACAUCGCAUUCUAUUUUGUUGGUUUCUAGGAUCGAUGUAAUGAUUAAUAGGGAUAGUUGGGGGCAUUAGUAUUCAAUUGUCAGAGGUGAAAUUCUUGGAUUUAUUGAAGACUAACUACUGCGAAAGCAUUUGCCAGGGAUGUUUUCAUUAAUCAAGAACGAAAGUUAGGGGAUCGAAGACGAUCAGAUACCGUCGUAGCCUUAACCAUAAACUAUGCCGACUAGGGAUCGGAUGAUGUUGAUUUUUUAAUGACUCAUUCGGCGCCUUACGGGAAAC
rnacentral:rRNA from 1 species